rnacentral:misc_RNA from 1 species
GAUGAAGAACGCAGCGAAAUGCGAUAAGUAAUGUGAAUUGCAGAAUCCAGUGAAUCAUCGAAUCUUUGAACGCACAUUGCGCCCGCCAGCAUUCUGGCGGGCAUGCCUGUUCGAGCGUCAUUUCAACCCUCGACCUCCCUUUGGGGAAGUCGGCGUUGGGGACCGGCAGCACACCGCCGGCCCUGAAAUGGAGUGGCGGCCCGUCCGCGGCGACCUCUGCGUAGUAAACCAACUCGCACCGGAACCCCGACGUGGCCACGCCGUAAAACACCCAACUUCUGAACGUUGACCUCGAAUCAGGUAGGACUACCCGCUGAACUUAAGCAUACCAUAAGCGGAGGA